GCAGCCGCGGUAAUACAGAGGUCUCAAGCGUUGUUCGGAAUCACUGGGCGUAAAGGGUACGUAGGCGGCGUCAUAAGUCGUGCGUGAAAGGCAGGGGCUCAACCUCUGGAGUGCGCGUGAUACUGUGAUGCUGGAGUAAUGGAGGGGGAACCGGAAUUCUUGGUGUAGCAGUGAAAUGCGUAGAUAUCAAGAAGAAGACUCGUGGCGAAGGCGGGUUCCUGGACAUUUACUGACGCUGAGGUACGAAGGCCAGGGUAGCGAAAGGGAUUAGAUACCCC
rnacentral:rRNA from 1 species